GCCAGCGUACCAUAGUGGUUUGAGUGUUGGAUUAUGACUCUAAAGACCAAGGUUCAAAUCCCCACUCUGCCA